GCAUGCCGAGCGGCAACUCCGGAAUGAAGGUGGCUUGCGAACGAAGGGGCGAAAUGUCACAGGCUUGGGUCCCCCCGUCCCCUUUAAGUCGUUCGCUCGCUCAAUCCAGGCGGAAGGACCUCUGCUGGAUAAUGGAUAAUGCUUUGGGAAUUAAUGAGGGUUGUGUAGCAACUGAAGAUGUUGUGUGUUGUCUGCAGGAUCCCUGCCUCACUGACCUCCUUUGUCAAGCAUUUUGCGAUCCACUGAUGAAAUUCACUAUAUAAGAACCGGGGAUUAUUACUAUCAUUAUUAUUUGUUACGGAAGUUGGAUGGUGUGUAAUGAAUCAAUCAGGGAACAUCCACCUAACAUUCAGGCUAAGAGUGAUCUGGAGGGUUCUAGAUACAGACUGGGAACACCGUAAAGAGAGCUGGGAAAUAGAGCAACAGGGUACAAUAGGAUUGUGUUGUAGCAGGAUACAGAUUAGGGAACUUUCUGAAACACGGUGUGAUGAUUUUGCUAUCUUUUAUACAAGUGUAUAUCUGGAGUAACUGUAUUAAUUUCAAUGGAGUUACUCCAGAUUUCCUUUGGUGCAAAAAAUAGAAUUUGCACUCCAAUAUGCAGUUCUUGGAACAUUGCUCUGCUGUACGUUGAUCAGCUUAGGCAAUGUACGAUACCAGAACUAAAGCCAGUAUAUAUAAUGGUGAAAGGACUGCAAGAGUUUCACCAGGAAUUUUAGAUCUAGUCAGAAAUAGGUUAUACUGAUACAAAAUUUAUGCCUGUGGCAUCCCUACAUUCAGCAGUGCAUAAGCAAUACAGAGCUGGUUCAUUCUAAUGUCGCUGUCACGGCAUUUUAAAUGUUACAGAACAGGAGGUAUUUGAAUUAAGGAGGAGACAAGCUCUACGAAAUUUUAAUUCAACCCACAGAUGUCUAGUAAAUAAGCACUCAAACAUCAGCAGCCUGGGAGACUGAAGAGAUUCUAACAGUAACUUUGCCAACCAUUUUGCCAUCAUUGGUAAAUAUUCUAUCCCCAGAGUACACACCGAAAAGCUGUAAGGUUAAGCUGUUUAAACAUAACUUGUAUUAUACAGCGAUGUACUUGGGGAAACAGAACGCUGUGUGGUUGUUUCAGUUGAUAUUCUCCAAAGCUACUACAGAUCAUUUAAAUUUACCAAACGUACAGUUCCUCGUUCUAGUAGUCGAACACAGAACAAUCUACUUCUGAAAGGCAGACGAGUGAUUCUUUGCUAUCUAUUUGGCCUUCUCUAGCUCCAGUUCAUUGGGUUAAACCUUUAAGCCCCUUUUUACACCAUCUGCACAUAACCAUGGAGAAAGGCGGGCACAUGUGUAAGCACAGACAGAGAAUUAGAUACACAACAGAUUUAAAAUGGAUACAGAUCUGAGCACGCACGUACGCCUGACACACCCUACUUGUGCACACACGUGGGUGAAAAGUGGAUUUCAAACUGUCCAUUUGCAAUUUCCAAAAGAAAAAUUGUGGGGGUUGAUUUCUUUCUGCCUGGUCAAAUUUAGAUAAAGGAAAGCACUGACUAAGUCAUUUUGGAAAUUGUGUUUGUGUAUAAAUUAAAGCAGAAAAGCCUCUAUUCACUCAGUUUUGCCACUAAGCUGCCUGUAGCAGGGGUUGCAUUAGAUGAAGAAGGGACCACAGGCAGGAUCAGCAGGCAAUGCUCAAUGAAGACAAAUUAUGAAAGUACACAGAAAUAUACUAGCUAUUGCUUUCUGAACCACAGAGAUUAAUAGGAUUUAGAUCAAUACAGACAGACCAUUCUUGAUUCUGGCAAAGGUUUUUAAGUAAAAUUAUCAAGCACAGCAGCAAGGAUGUCCUUUUACAGCUACUUGUUGGAACUCUUAGGCGCUGGGUCCUGAGUGCUGCUCACUGUGGAUGAAUCUAAACACCCACACAGAGCCCCAUGAAAGUAAUUGGGAGUCCACCCACAAGAAAGAACUUGCAGAAAUGGGGCUUUAGACCCCGAUCCUGCAAACAGUUUUGCAUGUGCCUAAAAUUAGGCAUAUGAAUCGUCCUAGGGAAGUCAAUGGGCCUAUUCACGUUAAGCAUGUGCGUAAGUGUUUGGAGGAGCGCGGUAAUGGAGAUUUUAUCUCCAUACCGAUGCCAUUUAAGCCUUUUACUGGAGAUGGGAAAAUCAUUCAAAGAGAACAAAUUAUUCAAUGGAUUUAGCCCUUUUUUCUGUUCAUGAAUUGCUUGUAAAUAUGUUGAUUUCACUUAUUUGAUAUUCUCUAUAAUUCAGUGGAUAUUUGGGGACACAAAUUGCAGCCUGGAUUGCUCACUAAAGGUGAAAUUUGCUCCUUGCAAAGCGCCAGCACAAGACCUAUGCACCAUUCAAGUCACGUUUAAGCCCUACAUUUAAAGUUUCACCCCAAUUGCUCACUAAAUUGAAUCCUGCCAGUUCUAAAUAUUUGCAAUUCGAUGUCUGAGUUGUCGAACUGGCCACCGAUGUCACCAGGUAUUAUUUCUGCUGGCUUACUGAAUGAUCCAGCAGCUCUAAAUCACGAUUGAGUCACAAGGCAAACUCUGUUUUGUGAUUACAUGAAUUUCAGUUUGGGGAUAAAUUACUUGGGUAAUUUACACCCAUUUAUAAAUAGAUCAUAAAGUCUAAAGGACUGCCUUCCUCUGUAGCAUAGGGCACGGGUCACUUGCUGGAGGAUUCUCUGCUCAUUGAAGUCUUUAAACCACAAUUUGAGGACUUCAAUAGCUCAGACGUAGGUGAGAGGUUUUUCGCAGGUGUGGGUGGGUGAGAUUCUGUGGCCUGCGUUGUGCAGGAGGUCAGACUAGAUGAUCAUAAUGGUCCCUUCUGACCUUAAUAUCUAUGAAUCUAUAAUAAAUCGUUAAUUGUUUUAAAGUCCAACAGGUUUACGGGUCACUUAUAACUCUAAUAUCUUCUUUUUUUUGCUUACAACACAUACUACUCAUGUCCGUAACAUGCUUAUAACAUCUAUUAACGCUUUAUCAACCAUUUGUAAAUUGAACCUUAAUAUAAAGUGUGACUAUUAGUUUUCUGUGAACUUUCAUACAAACAAAUCUGCACUGAAGUGAAUAUCCACGAAGAGUGAAUAAAAGAGGAGAAAACAUGGAUAAUAUAGCAGGUCUAACAUUUCUUUCCCUGCCUUCCUGCCUCUGAACAAGAUUACAUCAUGAUCCAGUUUUGCAAGACAGCAAAACUUGGCAUUUUAACCUAUUGUUACAAUUUAGGUUAGGUAGGAAAAUAAUGAUAUUUCAGCUACGUUCAGAAAAAGGCGGGAAGGCUUGUGGGCAGAUGUGUUGGCUCUUGCUCUAGGGGUAGCUUUAAUCACUAGGGAGCAUGGUCAGGCAACUAAGCUUGUUGAUGUGUUAUUGCCAUAUGAAACAAGGAGCUUUCAUCAUUCCUUUAAAGAGCUGCUUAUGCUGGGGGUGGAGGGAGAGACAACUCCAGUAGCAUUCUGUUUGUGAAAAAAAAUACCUAGCUUACAUGAUCUCUAUUGAUCUCCCCUCGUUCUGCAUCAUUAAGGGCAUUUGCAUGAAAGCAAAUCUUUUUUAGGAAGCUUGCUUGCGCCUGCUGCUUAUUCCCCAAUAGGGUUAUCAUUCUCAUUUUCCCAGCAAACAAAUGGCGGUGUCAAACAGAGGAGGAGGACUUCACGGGAGGGGAAGAUCAGAUGAAACCCAUAAAAUGUCCUCAAUAAAAAACACCUCCCCCGAAUAGUUGGUAUGUAAGGAAAAGGCUGUUUAGUGGAAUAUUUUCCCGAGCGUUUCUUGGUAAUGGUGCUCUCAAGGGAGGAAACUAUUACUAGCCUGUGCAUUUGCUUGGUAUAUAGCUGCAGAUAAAAGAUAUAUUUAAAGGGAAGAUCAGAGGCCAAGAAAAUUAACAUCUCUCACCCUUGGCAUAAGCAGUGGCCAUAAAAUGCAAUACUUUUAUGGUUUAUUAGAUGUAGGGGGUACAGAGUCACAAUGGGAAGAAGUGUCAACCCACACAUCAUUUGCAUUUUUAUAACGCGUCAGAUUCAGACAUCCUUAUUUAGUGAGUAGUACCUUAUUCCAGGAGUAAUUUCAUUAACAUCAUGAGGCUUCUCACAGAGUAAGGUAGAGCUCAGUGUGAGUGAGGGUGUCAGACGCCAGUCCUCUAUGAAUACAUCAAAUGCAAAGCAUCAUUAUUAUGCUUAGUACCCAUUAUAGUGGUUUAAACUCGGCAAUGUUACCCAUGUUCAUAAAGAUAUCCCUAGGAUGCAACCUAUAUAUCACAGCUAGCAUCUUAAAUUGAUACUUAUAUGCAUAAAUGCCUAUUUCACAUUCCAAACUGCUAUUUUGUUCACCCAAACAUGGCAUGAGAUGUCCUGUUAAAGAAGCCAAUGUUUAAACCAUAUUCCAAAACAACAGAGUUACAGAGAGAAACCACAGCAAGAGGAAAUAUUAUAAGUGGCCCAGACAAGGAACAAUGACGUUUUGGCAGGUAUUUGAAAUCAGAUGAUGAAGAGUUAUCGAGAAGGAGAAACACAGGACAGCUGCUUCAGAAGAUAGAAGCAGCAAUGGAGAAAGGUCUUGCAUUGACAGAGGAGAGACGGAGAAUUCAUAUAUUCAGAUACACACAUGCUCUUUUUUAAUACUGUUGCUCACUGUCUGUAGAACAAAUAAAGGUUAUGUAAAUAAGGAGUUUGCAAUGAAUCUGGAGUUCUACUAAUUCAAUUGAUGAUUAUUGACUGAUAAAAAUCUAGCAAAUUUA